AUAAAAAUCAUGUGGGUAUUUAUUAAAAUGCAGAUUCUGAUUCAGCAGAUUUAGGGUGAGGCUUGAGAUUCUGCAUUUCUAACAAGCUCCCAAGGGACUGGUUU
rnacentral:miRNA from 1 species